rnacentral:misc_RNA from 1 species
AUUGUUUACAUUUUACUUCUCGUUGUGUACAUUAUUUUGUUUCUAUAAUUAUGGAUAGUUCUGAGGAAAAGUUCUCGUGGACGCAACAAUUGACAAUGAAACUCAUACAAGAAGUCGAGCGUCGUCCAUGCAUUUGGAGCCGUGCAGAUGGUGAUUACUCAAAUAAAACAAUGAAAGCAAUUGCAUUUGAUGAAAUCGGUGAAAUACUGAAUGUGCCAAGCGCCAACGUACGUGAAAAAUUCCGAAAUCUACGCAUAAAUUUCAUGCAGGUGCAUAAAAAGAAAUUGUCUGCCGGUAGCAGAGCAAACUAUGUACCAAAAUGGGAGUUUUACAAUGCAUUACUCUAUAUGGCGGAUACGUGUGUAGCUUCUUCGAUAUCUUCUGCGUCGUCAACCACAUCAAAAUCAACAAAACGACGAAAAUUGCGCGAUUACAAAACAAAUACACAAGAUACGCCUAUAACUACAGAUCCCUUGUUUGACGAUUGCAAUAGUUCACAGACGACACAAUUUAGCCACGACAAAGAGUCGCGUUCAAAGUUUGUCGAAUAUGUAACACCCUUCAAGAGAACAACGGACAAUUUAAGUGAAACGGAAAUGCCUGUUAAAAGAACCGCAGACAAAUUUGGCGAAUGUAUAGAAACGCCUAGAUCAUCGCAUGUAAAGUUUGGCGAAUAUAUAGCAUUUAGUCUUGAAAAUCUCGACGACACGCAAUUAGUUAAGAAAACAAAAGCUAAAAUACAGCUCAUCAUAUCCGAAGCAAUAAGAGAACGUGCCAUGGCCGAAUUGGCUCUGUGCGAGUCUAGUGCGGAAUUUUAAAACAUUUCUCAUUAACAUAUCCGCACUCCAUUAUAUUUAAAAUUCGAGUUGGUUUACUUCGAUUUUUUGAAACACAGAAGGCGGAAUUUCGAACAUCUACACGGACGGAUCAAAAAUAAGCAUAUUUACUGAGUUUUGAGCCACAAGGACAUGCCAGGGACCGCCAAGGCAUGGAAGAAAAUACGCAUGCUUUUUCUUUACACAGUUUCGCAAAGACUGCGGGAAAGUUGUUGGCAUAGUCACAGGUCACAACUUACUGGCAGCACAUGCGAAUCUUAUGGGCAUUAUUAACGAUAACACAAAUAAAGCAUGAGGGCGAGAACAGCGUCUCUUACCUUGACCUUAUUUUCAACUCGGCUUAAAUAUUUAGUAGCUGCAAAUAGCGUUGACGUCCUGUAUGAUGCAGACAUCAGCUAAAACUUACCGAUCCAAAUGAGGUUACUUUACUUCUGGGAAUUGCAGCAAGUUAAACUCUUCUACUAGACUCGACCCCGACAUAUCAAAUAUACAUAUGUCCAGCAUGCAACGAGUCCACGCAUGACGCUAACUACCACUUUGCAUGCCCAGCUAAAUCUCCAUAUCAGACAUUCCUUUCUUUAUGGACUGAUUCGAAAAAUCGUCGAAACAGCUCGUUCCGGGGCCUACGAAAACUUCAGGACGUAUUAAAUUAAAUGUCGUUCUUUCAUUAGAAAGGAUAU